rnacentral:lncRNA from 1 species
GACACUAUAAAACAUUGCUCAUUUAUAUAAUUUUGGUUCAAGAGAAAGUGUAUGACCUAGCCUAUGCAUGUCAACAUCUUCAACCAAAAAACAAAUUAAAACACAUGGAAGGGGAAAAAAACGAAACCUUUCGAUUAAUGACUUCAGGGGUGGACUAAGAGCCAAAAAAACCUCUCCUUUGGAGAACAGAUGACAAUGCUGGCCCCUUUCGACACUUACUCCCAACACUUCAAUGGCGGACGGACGUCAGAGCAUUCAAUGUGCAACUUCAAUACUUCAAUGGUGGUUCGGCGGCGUCGCAAGAGUUCAGAAUCCUGGAGGGAGGUGGUUUCAUGGAGAGAGAUAACUAUUGUCGUGGACAGAGAUACUAUCCUAGGUGCGAAUAGAAUUGAUUUCCAGCAAACCUAUUUCCACAAAUGCCCUUCCCCUCAGGUUUUUUUUUUUUUUAAAUAAUCAAUUAAAACGACGAAUCACAGCACGACACCUAUUGUUGUAAAAAACGUUGUCAAAGUAAAUAUAUUCAAGUUUGAUUUUA